CUUUCUAAAAAUCUGACUAAUUGCUUGUGUUCUUUUGAUAGAUGGUAGUGAUUUUGACUUAGCAGAUGCUCUUGAUACAGUUACAAAGAAACCUCCAAUUACCAAAAAGCCUGCAGCAGGUGGUGGUUCCAAGCCAAAGUUGUAUCCUGACCUUGGACCUUAUUCAGAUGGCCAUGGAAAUGAUGGCCUCGAUUUAGGAGAUGCUCUUGAUAGUGGACAUGGUAAGUAUUCUUUUUUUUUUAUGGGGUUUUGCCCUUUUUGCAUCAUUUCAAAGUAUCUUUCAUUAAAACCACAGGGUUCAGUCUUGAAAGUGGUAGNAAAAAAAAAAUGGUGAUAGUGGCAGCACUUACAGAGGACAUCAGGGUUGUCCAUUCUUAACGUCGUUUC
rnacentral:lncRNA from 1 species